rnacentral:tRNA from 1 species
GGGCGAUUAGCUCAGCUGGUUAGAGCGCCACCUUUACACGGUGGAUGUCGGGGGUUCGAGUCCCUCAUCGCCCA